rfam:Ictidomys tridecemlineatus contig097606, whole genome shotgun sequence.
AUGGUUGUAGCUCAAUGGUAGAGCACUUGUCUUGGACACAUGAGACCCUGGAUUCGAUCCUCAGCAACACAUA